rnacentral:rRNA from 1 species
CGCAAGCCUGACGGAGCAAUACCGCGUGAGGGAGGAAGGCUCUUGGGUCGUAAACCUCUUUUGUCAGGGAAAAACACAAUGACGGUACCUGACGAAUCAGCAUCGGCUAACUCCGUGCCAGCAGCCGCGGUAAUACGGAGGAUGCAAGCGUUAUCCGGAAUUAUUGGGCGUAAAGCGUCCGCAGGUGGCUUGUCAAGUCUGCUGUCAAAGACUGGGGCUUAACUCCGGGCAGGCAGUGGAAACUGAAUAGCUAGAGUGCGGUAGGGGCAGAGGGAAUUCCCGGUGUAGCGGUGAAAUGCGUAGAGAUCGGGAAGAACAUCGGUGGCGAAAGCGCUUUGCUAGACCGAAACUGACACUCAGGGACGAAAGCUAGGGGAGCG